GUAAGCUGUUAUGUGCAGACAGUUUUCGUCGCGAGUUCGGCGAGCCGUGACCCAGCAUCGUAGUUAUCAGUGGCCGAAGCCGUAAAAACUCUAAAUACUAUGUUUAAUAAUUCAACAAAUUGUGUGUUUGGUAAACAAAGUGAAAAUUGGUUUAAUGGAAGGCAGUUAAAAGUUGUUAUUAGUGUUUGGUUUUAAUUGCAAAGCGUGGCUGCGCUCUCUCACACAGAAAACGUGCGCGCGAAAGAGACGCGCAAAGAAUAGUGCAAAACAAAAUAACGGAAUUAAAGAGCGGUCAGCGCGAGUGCUCAGAAUAUUACAGCAAUAAAUAUGUAUGUACUUGGAGUUAUAUGAUGAGUCUUAAUUCACAGGAGCACCAUUGAUUAAAGAUUUGAGGAGUACAUCUUUAUAUCUUUCUGACAAAUAUUUGAGAAGGUGAUCUUCCAGCAAUUUGCACUUGCACAGUCCGUGGGUUGUUCUGUAAUUAAAUUAUAAAAUAUAAUUGUUUGUUAAUUCAACAACUUGUAAGAGGUGUUCAAAUUCAGGGAUAUAUUUACUCUGUAACAUAUGCGAAUAAUAUAUAAGAAACUGAAUACAACAUUAAAUCAGACACAAUCCGGGAAGAAAGAACUAAAAUGCAGUAACUGCCUAGGGAUUAAUACUUUUUGUUUAAUACACUCUGCAUAAGGAGAAAAGGUGUUCUGUAGACACUUCGCGUACGGGAUUAUUAAUUCUCAAUCGUCUGGAGCUUCAACUCGAAACUCCCAAGUGGCUAAGCAGCCCUCGAAAAAUGUCGCAUUCGCUGGCCCUGGACAUGGACCUGCUGACAGCAGCAUUCGAGCUGAAAGUACUCUUCAGCUUCACAAUCACAUUCACAUCCGCAGAAGCCGGGGCAGGAUCACACAAUGAGCUGGAAUGGGAGCGCGGGCUGGGGUAGCUGGCGCUGGGCACGUGUUGAGUGCGCACAAAAGUAUGCUAUGGAGCAUACGAGCAAUCUUUUAUUUGAUACGUUUUUGAUUUGAGAACUAAAAGUCGCCGCAGCAGACAAUGUCAAUGUGUGCUCCCCACAUCCCAAGCCAAACCCAUCCGCCCAACAAACCCAAAUUGCUAUCGAAAACAAUGACAGAAACACCCCGAGGACUACAUGAGGGGCAAGAGAGGGAGCAAAAGAGUGAGAGACUGAGCAGCAGUUGACUGCGCCCAGUCUCAAGUGCAGCAUGACACAUCCUGGCAAGUCCUGUGUCAAACGAACCGUAUGAACAAGGACUUCAAACUGCCCAAAGGACAUCAAAAUCGUCCUUACCGUUUCUUAGAUAUGGCCAAUUUUCUAAAAAGGACAUUUUUCAAUUAGCCAUAACUCGGCCAAAUCCUUAAGGAUAUCGGAAGGAUAUACCUUGUCGAACUCGUGGAGAGGAGGACUAUCGAUUGGCAUUCAAGGAUUUCCAAGAUUCGACAAAAAAUUUCACCAAAAUAUUUCAUAGGGGAUUGCCAAAUUAAGGACCAUAAUGACCUCUAAGGACCUCUAAGGACCUCCACGCAAAAUUUUCCAGGAUCGGACUUUAAUUAAGCCAGAUAUACUUAUUUUAAGUUCAAAUAAGCAUAAAUUAUAAUUUAUUC